GGGGAAUUUUGGACAAUGGGCGAAAGCCUGAUCCAGCAAUGCCGCGUGCAGGAUGAAGGCCUUCGGGUUGUAAACUGCUUUUGUACGGAACGAAAAAGCUUCUCCUAAUACGAGAGGCCCAUGACGGUACCGUAAGAAUAAGCACCGGCUAACUACGUGCCAGCAGCCGCGGUAAUACGUAGGGUGCGAGCGUUAAUCGGAAUUACUGGGCGUAAAGCGUGCGCAGGCGGUUAUGUAAGACAGAUGUGAAAUCCCCGGGCUCAACCUGGGAACUGCAUUUGUGACUGCAUGGCUAGAGUACGGUAGAGGGGGAUGGAAUUCCGCGUGUAGCAGUGAAAUGCGUAGAUAUGCGGAGGAACACCGAUGGCGAAGGCAAUCCCCUGGACCUGUACUGACGCUCAUGCACGAAAGCGUGGGGAGCAAACA
rnacentral:rRNA from 2 species